UGGACGUGCCGCCCACUAAUCUUGCCUGCCCACACAAGCCUUUCGUUUCAAUAAACCAAUAAUUUUAAAUGUCAAUUUUGUACUUAUGAAUGUUUCAUCACAAAGUCAGGAGUAUAAAGUUAAAUACAUGUAUCUGAGUUAUACAUUUGCAUUGGAGUGAACGCGAUCAAAAAUCAAUGAAGCGGUUAAUGAAGGCUGUAUUUAAAAGACUGAAAAUAAUGAAAAAAAUACCUAAUAUUUUGUAAAGGAUGCUAAAAAGAAAUCACGUGGUUAAAGUUAAAUAAAAAAUGGACGAUGGAGUUUUUUAAAAAGGAGGUUUCUUCAAGGUUGGCAACAUAUUUCUGACAUUCCUUGUGUUCGAGUUAUAAGUAUGCAUAAGCUAUGAUAACCUUUUACCAUCAGACGUGCUCAUGUUUGUGUCAUGCCAACCAUAUUGUUAACUAUGUCGCUCAAAAAAUGUUAAGAACAAGUUAUUGCAACAAAGUUAGGCACUUACGAACUUUAUAGUAAUAUUUAAGUAUAAUAAUUAAUUAAGAUACAUAUUUUAACAUUUUGUGCACUAGUUAAACGCGGAAAUAAUGAACAAUAAAAACCAUUUUCAAUGUAGAGUAAUUUACCUCAAUUCAGUACAACAAUAUUUUGUAUUAUAUGUACCUACUUAUAUAUAAUAUAUAUUUGUUCUACACGAAUGCGCCCGUUCCUGUUUACCUUGUACACACGGGUUCCGCCAGAGAAAGGUCUUAUUCCUUUCAAUGCCAUUUAACAAUAUAUACCUAGUGAUAAUAAUAUAAAUAGGACAUGAUACAGUAACUACUUUAUUUCCGUCACCGCCAAAACCAAGGUUGAAUUGCUCGCAAGAAGCGAGUGUGACUUUUAUGAAUUUUUGUACGCGAAAUCUACAUGAACUUGGUAUACUCAGUUCUUUAUUUUUUAUAAAAGGAAUUCUAGUUUUCAUAUAGAAAUAUAACUUUAAUGUCUGUUUGCCAAUUUUAAUUUAAUUCCGUUCAGUUGAUAAGCGAUUUGUGUUACAUAAUGAAAGAUCGAAUUGCAAAUAGUUAUAGACAUAUUAUCAUACUUUCACUUUGAAUUACUGAUAUUCUGGAUUAUUUUUUUAUGAUUAUAAAUGGCUGUUAUG